GUCCAGACUCCUACGGGAGGCAGCAGUGGGGAAUAUUGCACAAUGGGGGAAACCCUGAUGCAGCGACGCCGCGUGAGUGAAGAAGUAUCUCGGUACGUAAAGCUCUAUCAGCAGGGAAGAUAAUGACGGUACCUGACUAAGAAGCCCCGGCUAACUACGUGCCAGCAGCCGCGGUAAUACGUAGGGGGCAAGCGUUAUCCGGAUUUACUGGGUGUAAAGGGAGCGUAGACGGCUGUGCAAGCCAGAUGUGAAAGCCCGGGGCUCAACCCCGGGACUGCAUUUGGAACUGUGUGGCUGGAGUGUCGGAGAGGCAGGCGGAAUUCCUAGUGUAGUGGUGAAAUGCGUAGAUAUUAGGAGGAACACCAGUGGCGAAGGCGGCCUGCUGGACGAUGACUGACGUUGAGGCUCGAAAGCGUGGGGAGCAAACAGGAUUAGAUACCCUAGUA
rnacentral:rRNA from 1 species